rnacentral:rRNA from 1 species
UACGUAGGGCGCAAGCGUUGUCCGGAAUUAUUGGGCGUAAAGAGCUCGUAGGCGGUUUGUCGCGUCUGCUGUGAAAACUCGGGGCUUAACUCCGGGCCUGCAGUGGGUACGGGCAGACUAGAGUGCGGUAGGGGAGACUGGAAUUCCUGGUGUAGCGGUGAAAUGCGCAGAUAUCGGGAGGAACACCAGUGGCGAAGGCGGCUAUCUGGACGUCCACUGACGCUGAGGCGCGAAAGCGUGGGGAGCAAACAGG